CCUAAAUUUUUGUCUGUAAACUCUGUAUAAUGAAGCAUGCCUCCACGGCUCCACCCACUUGUUGCUCACUCCACUCACCAUUCGCCUAGAAAACCGAGCUCCUUCUCCCCCACUAACUAUGGCUUCUUAUUUUCUUCUUCCAAAAAUGCCUCUAAAUUCUUCUGCUGCAGCGCAACAUUAAUUACAGCCUCUCUUUUUCAGCAUUUUCUUGUGUUGCGGGUUGAGGUAGAAACCAUUUAAGAAGCUGAAGCCUAUUUUCCUUUCACUACAUUGAAUUUACUCUUUCCCACUGGUUGAGAAUAUGCAGACCCCUAAAGCAAGAAGUAGUCCAUCAGGCGCACCCCAGAAGAGCUCUCCUCGAUCUAUAUCCUCGGAGGCGUCUCUCAAAAGCUCGUCCCCUCAAGCUUCAUCCGCAGAAGCUCCCCAAAAGGUCUCUCUAAGAGUGGUGCGUCAGCUUAAGACAGGGCCACGUUUCUUAGACCCUACCGCAUCUUCAUCAAACCAAGCAAGCCGAGCUCCAAAAGAGAGAAGUCCUAAAGUAACUGAUCACAAAUCCCCUAAAGCCG